rnacentral:rRNA from 1 species
GGGUUGUGAGGUUAAGCGACUAAGCGUACACGGUGGAUGCCCUGGCAGUCAGAGGCGAUGAAGGACGUGCUAAUCUGCGAUAAGCGUCGGUAAGGUGAUAUGAACCGUUAUAACCGGCGAUUUCCGAAUGGGGAAACCCAGUGUGAUUCGUCACACUAUCAUUAACUGAAUCCAUAGGUUAAUGAGGCGAACCGGGGGAACUGAAACAUCUAAGUACCCCGAGGAAAAGAAAUCAACCGAGAUUCCCCCAGUAGCGGCGAGCGAACGGGGAGGAGCCCAGAGCCUGAAUCAGUGUGUGUGUUAGUGGAAGCGUCUGGAAAGGCGCGCGAUACAGGGUGACAGCCCCGUACACAAAAAUGCACAUGCUGUGAGCUCGAUGAGUAGGGCGGGACACGUGGUAUCCUGUCUGAAUAUGGGGGGACCAUCCUCCAAGGCUAAAUACUCCUGACUGACCGAUAGUGAACCAGUACCGUGAGGGAAAGGCGAAAAGAACCCCGGCGAGGGGAGUGAAAAAGAACCUGAAACCGUGUACGUACAAGCAGUGGGAGCACAGAGCAAUCUGUGUGACUGCGUACCUUUUGUAUAAUGGGUCAGCGACUUAUAUUCUGUAGCAAGGUUAACCGAAUAGGGGAGCCGAAGGGAAACCGAGUCUUAACUGGGCGUUAAGUUGCAGGGUAUAGACCCGAAACCCGGUGAUCUAGCCAUGGGCAGGUUGAAGGUUGGGUAACACUAACUGGAGGACCGAACCGACUAAUGUUGAAAAAUUAGCGGAUGACUUGUGGCUGGGGGUGAAAGGCCAAUCAAACCGGGAGAUAGCUGGUUCUCCCCGAAAGCUAUUUAGGUAGCGCCUCGUGAAUUCAUCUCCGGGGGUAGAGCACUGUUUCGGCAAGGGGGUCAUCCCGACUUACCAACCCGAUGCAAACUGCGAAUACCGGAGAAUGUUAUCACGGGAGACACACGGCGGGUGCUAACGUCCGUCGUGAAGAGGGAAACAACCCAGACCGCCAGCUAAGGUCCCAAAGUCAUGGUUAAGUGGGAAACGAUGUGGGAAGGCCCAGACAGCCAGGAUGUUGGCUUAGAAGCAGCCAUCAUUUAAAGAAAGCGUAAUAGCUCACUGGUCGAGUCGGCCUGCGCGGAAGAUGUAACGGGGCUAAACCAUGCACCGAAGCUGCGGCAGCGACGCUGAUGCGUUGUUGGGUAGGGGAGCGUUCUGUAAGCCUGCGAAGGUGUGCUGUGAGGCAUGCUGGAGGUAUCAGAAGUGCGAAUGCUGACAUAAGUAACGAUAAAGCGGGUGAAAAGCCCGCUCGCCGGAAGACCAAGGGUUCCUGUCCAACGUUAAUCGGGGCAGGGUGAGUCGACCCCUAAGGCGAGGCCGAAAGGCGUAGUCGAUGGGAAACAGGUUAAUAUUCCUGUACUUGGUGUUACUGCGAAGGGGGGACGGAGAAGGCUAUGUUGGCCGGGCGACGGUUGUCCCGGUUUAAGCGUGUAGGCUGGUUUUCCAGGCAAAUCCGGAAAAUCAAGGCUGAGGCGUGAUGACGAGGCACUACGGUGCUGAAGCAACAAAUGCCCUGCUUCCAGGAAAAGCCUCUAAGCAUCAGGUAACAUCAAAUCGUACCCCAAACCGACACAGGUGGUCAGGUAGAGAAUACCAAGGCGCUUGAGAGAACUCGGGUGAAGGAACUAGGCAAAAUGGUGCCGUAACUUCGGGAGAAGGCACGCUGAUAUGUAGGUGAAGCGACUUGCUCGUGGAGCUGAAAUCAGUCGAAGAUACCAGCUGGCUGCAACUGUUUAUUAAAAACACAGCACUGUGCAAACACGAAAGUGGACGUAUACGGUGUGACGCCUGCCCGGUGCCGGAAGGUUAAUUGAUGGGGUUAGCGCAAGCGAAGCUCUUGAUCGAAGCCCCGGUAAACGGCGGCCGUAACUAUAACGGUCCUAAGGUAGCGAAAUUCCUUGUCGGGUAAGUUCCGACCUGCACGAAUGGCGUAAUGAUGGCCAGGCUGUCUCCACCCGAGACUCAGUGAAAUUGAACUCGCUGUGAAGAUGCAGUGUACCCGCGGCAAGACGGAAAGACCCCGUGAACCUUUACUAUAGCUUGACACUGAACAUUGAGCCUUGAUGUGUAGGAUAGGUGGGAGGCUUUGAAGUGUGGACGCCAGUCUGCAUGGAGCCGACCUUGAAAUACCACCCUUUAAUGUUUGAUGUUCUAACGUGGACCCGUAAUCCGGGUUGCGGACAGUGUCUGGUGGGUAGUUUGACUGGGGCGGUCUCCUCCUAAAGAGUAACGGAGGAGCACGAAGGUUGGCUAAUCCUGGUCGGACAUCAGGAGGUUAGUGCAAUGGCAUAAGCCAGCUUGACUGCGAGCGUGACGGCGCGAGCAGGUGCGAAAGCAGGUCAUAGUGAUCCGGUGGUUCUGAAUGGAAGGGCCAUCGCUCAACGGAUAAAAGGUACUCCGGGGAUAACAGGCUGAUACCGCCCAAGAGUUCAUAUCGACGGCGGUGUUUGGCACCUCGAUGUCGGCUCAUCACAUCCUGGGGCUGAAGUAGGUCCCAAGGGUAUGGCUGUUCGCCAUUUAAAGUGGUACGCGAGCUGGGUUUAGAACGUCGUGAGACAGUUCGGUCCCUAUCUGCCGUGGGCGCUGGAGAAUUGAGGGGGGCUGCUCCUAGUACGAGAGGACCGGAGUGGACGCAUCACUGGUGUUCGGGUUGUCAUGCCAAUGGCACUGCCCGGUAGCUAAAUGCGGAAGAGAUAAGUGCUGAAAGCAUCUAAGCACGAAACUUGCCCCGAGAUGAGUUCUCCCUGACUCCUUGAGAGUCCUGAAGGAACGUUGAAGACGACGACGUUGAUAGGCCGGGUGUGUAAGCGCAGCGAUGCGUUGAGCUAACCGGUACUAAUGAACCGUGAGGCUUAACCUUACAACGCCGAAG